GGAGGACAGGGAAGUAGGGCACUGAAGUACUGUUGUGUAAGCACCAAAUAAGGAGAAGGGGAAGGAAGAAAGUAGAUACUUUUUGUUCUUUUUGGUUGCGACUAGGUUUUUUUCACGUGAGUUUAGGUUGGAUAUGUGGGGAA